rnacentral:rRNA from 1 species
GAUGAACGCUGGCGGCGUGCCUAAUACAUGCAAGUCGAGCGAACAGACGAGGAGCUUGCUCCUCUGACGUUAGCGGCGGACGGGUGAGUAACACGUGGAUAACCUACCUAUAAGACUGGGAUAACUUCGGGAAACCGGAGCUAAUACCGGAUAAUAUAUUGAACCGCAUGGUUCAAUAGUGAAAGACGGUUUUGCUGUCACUUAUAGAUGGAUCCGCGCCGCAUUAGCUAGUUGGUAAGGUAACGGCUUACCAAGGCAACGAUGCGUAGCCGACCUGAGAGGGUGAUCGGCCACACUGGAACUGAGACACGGUCCAGACUCCUACGGGAGGCAGCAGUAGGGAAUCUUCCGCAAUGGGCGAAAGCUUGACGGAGCAACGCCGCGUGAGUGAUGAGGGUCUUCGGAUCGUAAAACUCUGUUAUUAGGGAAGAACAAAUGUGUAAGUAACUAUGCACGUCUUGACGGUACCUAAUCAGAAAGCCACGGCUAACUACGUG